GGAGGUAUCACUCAGUGGUAGAACAUAUGCUUAGCAUGCACGAGGUCAUGGGUUCGAUCCCCAGUACCUCCA
rnacentral:tRNA from 1 species